AUUGAACGCUGGCGGCAUGCCUUACACAUGCAAGUCGAACGGCAGCACGGGAGCAAUCCUGGUGGCGAGUGGCGAACGGGUGAGUAAUAUAUCGGAACGUGCCCAGUCGUGGGGGAUAACGUAGCGAAAGCUACGCUAAUACCGCAUACGAUCUAUGGAUGAAAGCGGGGGAUCGCAAGACCUCGCGCGAUUGGAGCGGCCGAUAUCAGAUUAGGUAGUUGGUGAGGUAAAGGCUCACCAAGCCGACGAUCUGUAGCUGGUCGGAGAGGACGACCAGCCACACUGGGACUGAGACACGGCCCAGACUCCUACGGGAGGCAGCAGUGGGGAAUUUUGGACAAUGGGCGCAAGCCUGAUCCAGCAAUGCCGCGUGCAGGAUGAAGGCCUUCGGGUUGUAAACUGCUUUUGUACGGAGCGAAAAGGCUUCCACUAAUACUGGGGGCUCAUGACGGUACCGUAAGAAUAAGCACCGGCUAACUACGUGCCAGCAGCCGCCGUAA
rnacentral:rRNA from 1 species